UACGUAGGGUCCGAGCGUUGUCCGGAAUUACUGGGCGUAAAGCGCGCGCAGGCGGCCCGCGAGGUGUCACGUGAAAGCCCCGGGCUCAACCCGGGAGGGUCGUGGCAAACCGGCGGGCUUGAGGCCGGUAGAGGUGGGUGGAACUCCUGGUGGAGUGGUGAAAUGCGUAGAGAUCAGGAAGAACACCCGUGGCGAAGGCGGCCCACUGGGCCGGUACUGACGCUGAGGCGCGAAGGCGUGAGGAGCGAACGGG
rnacentral:rRNA from 1 species